GACGUAGGGCGCGAGCGUUGUCCGGAUUUAUUGGGUACGUAAAGAGCUCGUAGGCGGCUUGUCGCGAUCGUCCGUGAAACGUUGGGGCCUCAACCCCAAGGCUUGCGGUCGGAUACGGGCAGGCUGGAGUUCGGUAGGGGAGGACUGGAAUUCCUGGAUGUAGCGGUGAAAUACGCAGAUAUCAGGAGGAACACCGGUGGCGAAGGCGGGACUCUGGGCCGAUACUGACGCUGAGGAGCGAAAGCGUGGGGAGCAAACGGG
rnacentral:rRNA from 1 species